CCUACGGGUGGCUGCAGUGGGGAAUAUUGGACAAUGGGGGCAACCCUGAUCCAGCCAUGCCGCGUGUGUGAAGAAGGCCCUCGGGUUGUAAAGCACUUUCAGUGAGGAAGAACGCCUGGUGGUUAAUACCCAUCAGGAAAGACAUCACUCACAGAAGAAGCACCGGCUAACUCCGUGCCAGCAGCCGCGGUAAUACGGAGGGUGCGAGCGUUAAUCGGAAUUACUGGGCGUAAAGCGCGCGUAGGUGGCUUGAUAAGCCGGUUGUGAAAGCCCCGGGCUCAACCUGGGAACGGCAUCCGGAACUGUCAAGCUAGAGUGCAGGAGAGGAAGGUAGAAUUCCCGGUGUAGCGGUGAAAUGCGUAGAGAUCGGGAGGAAUACCAGUGGCGAAGGCGGCCUUCUGGACUGACACUGACGCUGAGGUGCGAAAGCGUGGGUAGCAAACAGGAUUAGAUACCCUUGUAGUC
rnacentral:rRNA from 1 species